rnacentral:rRNA from 1 species
AUUGAACGCUGGCGGCAGGCCUAACACAUGCAAGUCGACCGAGUGGCGGACGGGUGAGUAAUGUCUGGGAAACUGCCUGAUGGAGGGGGAUAACUACUGGAAACGGUAGCUAAUACCGCAUACCCUCUGAUGUGCCCAUAUGUGAUUAGCUAGUAGGGGGGGUAAAGUCUCACCUAGGCGACGAUCCCUAGCUGGUCUGAGAGGAUGACCAGCCAAACUGGAACUGAGACACGGUCCAGACCACUACGGGAGGAAGAAGGGGGAAAUAUGGCACAAUGGGGGCAAGCAUGAUGCAGCCAGGCGGCGUGUAUGAAGAAGGGUUGCGGGUUGUAAAGUACUUUCAGCGGGGAGGCUUAACCCGCAGAAGAAGCGCCGGCUAACCCCGUGCCAGCAGCAGCGGGAAUC